rnacentral:rRNA from 1 species
GAUGAACGCUAGCUCCAGGCUUAACACAUGCAAGUCGAGGGACCGGCGCACGAGUGAGUCACACGUAUCCAACCUGCCCUUUACUCGGGGAUAGCCUUUCGAAAGAAAGAUUAAUACCCGAUAUACAGGUAGGUGAUGCGUUCCAUUAGGUUGUUGGUGAGGUAACGGCUAACCAAGCCUUCGAUGGAUAGGGGUUCUGAGCGGAAGGUCCCCAACAUUGGAACUGGGACACGGUCCAAACUCCAACGGGAGGCAGCAGUGAGGAAUAUUGUUCAAUGGGCGCUAGCCUGAACCAGCCAAGUAGCGUGGAGGAUGAAGGCUUAUGAGUCGUAAACUUCUUUUAUAUAAGAAUAUGUAUUAUAUGAAUAAGGAUCGGCUAACUCCGUGCCAGCAGCCGCGGUAAUUC